rnacentral:rRNA from 1 species
UACGUAGGGGGGCGAGCGUUGUCCGGAUUCAUUGGGCGUAAAGCGCGUGUAGGCGGCCAGGUAGGUCUGGUGUGAAAACUCGAGGCUCAACCUCGAGAGGUCAUCGGAAACCAUCUGGCUAGAGUCCGGAAGAGGAAAGUGGAAUUCCUGGUGUAGCGGUGAAAUGCGCAGAUAUCAGGAAGAACACCUAUGGCGAAGGCAGCACUCUGGGACGGUACUGACGCUGAGACGCGAAAGCGUGGGGAGCGAACAGG